rnacentral:rRNA from 1 species
GAUGAACGCUGGCGGCGUGCUUAACACAUGCAAGUCGAACGAAGCAAUGCGACGGAAGCCUUCGGGUGGAAGAUGCAUUGACUGAGUGGCGGACGGGUGAGUAACGCGUGGGUAACCUGCCUUACACAGGGGGAUAACAGUUAGAAAUGACUGCUAAUACCGCAUAACCCGCUAGUACCGCAUGGUACAGACGGAAAAGAUUUAUCGGUGUAAGAUGGACCCGCGUCUGAUUAGCUAGUUGGUAGGGUAAUGGCCUACCAAGGCGACGAUCAGUAGCCGGCUUGAGGGAGUGAUCGGCCACAUGGGGACUGAGACACGGCCCAAACUCCGACGGGAGGCAGCAGUGGGGAAUAUUGCACAAUGGGGGAAACCUUGAUGCAGCAACGCCGCGUGAGUGAAGAAGUAUUUCGGUAUGUAAAGCUCUAUCAGCAGGGAAGAAAAUGACGGUACCUGACUAAGAAGCCCCGGCUAACUACGUGCCAGCCGCCGCCGUAACAC